rnacentral:rRNA from 1 species
UUAAGUUAGAAAGGGCGCACGGUGGAUGCCUUGACACUAGGAGUCGAUGAAGGACGGGACUAACGCCGAUAUGCUUCGGGGAGCUGUAAGUAAGCUUUGAUCCGAAGAUUUCCGAAUGGGGAAACCCACUAUACGUAAUGGUAUGGUAUCCUUACCUGAAUACAUAGGGUAUGGAAGACAGACCCAGGGAACUGAAACAUCUAAGUACCUGGAGGAAGAGAAAGCAAAUGCGAUUUCCUGAGUAGCGGCGAGCGAAACGGAAUCUAGCCCAAACCAAGAGGCUUGCCUCUUGGGGUUGUAGGACAUUCUAUACGGAGUUACAAAGGAACGAGGUAGACGAAGCGACCUGGAAAGGUCCGUCACAGAGGGUAAUAACCCCGUAGUCGAAACUUCGUUCUCUCUUGAAUGUAUCCUGAGUACGGCGGAACACGUGAAAUUCCGUCGGAAUCUGGGAGGACCAUCUCCCAAGGCUAAAUACUCCCUAGUGAUCGAUAGUGAACCAGUACCGUGAGGGAAAGGUGAAAAGCACCCCGGAAGGGGAGUGAAAGAGAUCCUGAAACCGUGUGCCUACAAAUAGUCAGAGCCCGUUAAUGGGUGAUGGCGUGCCUUUUGUAGAAUGAACCGGCGAGUUACGAUCCCGUGCAAGGUUAAGCUGAAGAGGCGGAGCCGCAGCGAAAGCGAGUCUGAAUAGGGCGUUUAGUACGUGGUCGUAGACCCGAAACCAGGUGAUCUACCCAUGUCCAGGGUGAAGUUCAGGUAACACUGAAUGGAGGCCCGAACCCACGCACGUUGAAAAGUGCGGGGAUGAGGUGUGGGUAGCGGAGAAAUUCCAAUCGAACCUGGAGAUAGCUGGUUCUCCCCGAAAUAGCUUUAGGGCUAGCCUUAAGUGUAAGAGUCUUGGAGGUAGAGCACUGAUUGAACUAGGGGUCCUCAUCGGAUUACCGAAUUCAGUCAAACUCCGAAUGCCAAUGACUUAUCCUUAGGAGUCAGACUGCGAGUGAUAAGAUCCGUAGUCAAGAGGGAAACAGCCCAGAUCGCCAGCUAAGGUCCCAAAGUGUGUAUUAAGUGGAAAAGGAUGUGGAGUUGCUUAGACAACUAGGAUGUUGGCUCAGAAGCAGCCACCAUUUAAAGAGUGCGUAAUAGCUCACUAGUCGAGUGACUCUGCGCCGAAAAUGUACCGGGGCUAAAUACACCACCGAAGCUGCGAAUUGAUACCAAUGGUAUCAGUGGUAGGGGAGCGUUCUAAGUGCAGUGAAGUCAGACCGGAAGGACUGGUGGAGCGCUUAGAAGUGAGAAUGCCGGUAUGAGUAGCGAAAGACGGGUGAGAAUCCCGUCCACCGAAUGCCUAAGGUUUCCUGAGGAAGGCUCGUCCGCUCAGGGUUAGUCAGGACCUAAGCCGAGGCCGACAGGCGUAGGCGAUGGACAACAGGUUGAUAUUCCUGUACCACCUCUUUAUCGUUUGAGCAAUGGAGGGACGCAGAAGGAUAGAAGAAGCGUGCGAUUGGUUGUGCACGUCCAAGCAGUUAGGCUGAUAAGUAGGCAAAUCCGCUUAUCGUGAAGGCUGAGCUGUGAUGGGGAAGCUCCUUAUGGAGCGAAGUCUUUGAUUCCCCGCUGCCAAGAAAAGCUUCUAGCGAGAUAAAAGGUGCCUGUACCGCAAACCGACACAGGUAGGCGAGGAGAGAAUCCUAAGGUGUGCGAGAGAACUCUGGUUAAGGAACUCGGCAAAAUGACCCCGUAACUUCGGGAGAAGGGGUGCUUUCUUAACGGAAAGCCGCAGUGAAUAGGCCCAAGCGACUGUUUAGCAAAAACACAGGUCUCUGCGAAGCCGUAAGGCGAAGUAUAGGGGCUGACACCUGCCCGGUGCUGGAAGGUUAAGGAGAGGGGUUAGCAUAAGCGAAGCUCUGAACUGAAGCCCCAGUAAACGGCGGCCGUAACUAUAACGGUCCUAAGGUAGCGAAAUUCCUUGUCGGGUAAGUUCCGACCCGCACGAAAGGUGUAACGAUUUGGGCACUGUCUCAACCAGAGACUCGGUGAAAUUAUAGUACCUGUGAAGAUGCAGGUUACCCGCGACAGGACGGAAAGACCCCGUGGAGCUUUACUGUAGCCUGAUAUUGAAUUUUGGUACAGUUUGUACAGGAUAGGCGGGAGCCAUUGAAACCGGAGCGCUAGCUUCGGUGGAGGCGCUGGUGGGAUACCGCCCUGACUGUAUUGAAAUUCUAACCUACGGGUCUCAUCGACCCGGGAGACAGUGUCAGGUGGGCAGUUUGACUGGGGCGGUCGCCUCCUAAAGUGUAACGGAGGCGCCCAAAGGUUCCCUCAGAAUGGUUGGAAAUCAUUCGUAGAGUGCAAAGGCAUAA